UUGGAGGGCAAGUCUGGUGCCAGCAGCCGCGGUAAUUCCAGCUCCAAUAGCGUAUAUUAAAGUUGUUGCAGUUAAAAAGCUCGUAGUUGAAUUUCGGGGUCAGUAGGUUGGUCGUGCCUAUGGUAUGUACUGGCUUUACUGAUUCCUCCUUCUUGAAGAACUGUAAUGUCAUUAAUUUGGUGUUGCAGGGAAACAGGACUGUUACUUUGAAAAAAUUAGAGUGUUUAAAGCAGGCUAACGCUUGAAUACAUUAGCAUGGAAUAAUGAAAUAGGACGUUCGAUCCUAUUUUGUUGGUUUCUAGGAUUGACGUAAUGAUUAAUAGGGAUAGUUGGGGGCAUUAGUAUUCAAUUGACAGAGGUGAAAUUCUUGGAUUUAUUGAAGACUAACUACUGCGAAAGCAUUUGCCAAGGAUGUUUUCAUUAAUCAAGAACGAAAGUUAGGGGAUCGAAGACGAUCAGAUACCGUCGUAGUCUUAACCAUAAACUAUGCCGACUAGGGAUCGGAUGAUGUUAAUUUUUUAAUGACUCAUUCGGCGCCUUACGGGAAAC
rnacentral:rRNA from 1 species